rnacentral:lncRNA from 1 species
UUCCUGUAUAUACUCCUGUCAGAUGAAGUUAUUUCACGUAAACCACUUUGGCAAACUGGUCUUAGAACAGGCUUUUGGCUAUUAUGGACCACUCCGAAGUGUGUGGGUUGCUCAAAACCCUCCUGGCUUUGCUUUUGUUGAAUUUUAGGAUCCCUGAGAUGCUGCUAAUGCUGUCUGGGAGCUAGAUGGAAGAACACUGUGGCUGCCGUGUAAGAGUGGAACUGUAGAAUGGUGAAAAGAGAAGUCGGAAUCAUGGCCCGCCUCCCUCUUGGGGUCGUUGUCCUCAAGAUGAUUACCGUAGGAGGAGUCCUCCACCUCGGCACAGAUCCACAAGAAGGAGAGGCUUUUCCCGAUGCCAGAGCAGGUCACUUUCUAGAGAUAGGAGAAGAGAAUGGUCUCUGUCUCAUGAGAGAAAUCACAAGCCAUCUCGAUCUUCUCUAGGUCUCAUAGCCGGUCUAGGUCAAAUGAAAGGAAA